rnacentral:rRNA from 1 species
AGAGUUUGAUCCUGGCUCAGAAUGAACGCUGGCGGCGUGGAUUAGGCAUGCAAGUCGAACGGAUAUUGGGGCUUGCUCCAGUAUUAGUGGCGACCUGGUGAGUACAAGUUGGGUAACCUGCCCGAAAGUGGGGAAUAACUCCUCGAAAGAGGGGCUAAUACCGCAUGUGGUCCCGGGGACUUCGGUUCUUGUGACUAAAGCAGCAGUGUGCUUUCGGAUGGGCCCGACCCCCAUUAGCUAGUUGGUAGGGUAAUGGCCUACCAAGGCUACGAUGGGUAGCUGGCUUGAGAGAGUGGUCAGCCACACGAGGACUGAGAUACGGCCUCGACUCCUACGGGGGGCAGCAGUCUAGAGGCUUCGGCAAUGGGGGCAACCCUGACCGAGCGACGCCGCGUGGAGGAUGAAGGUCUUCGGAUUGUAAACUCCUUUCGGCAGGAAGGAAGGCCCUUGUGGUGAACAGGGGAUUGACCUACCUGCGGAAGAAGCCCCGGCUAACUUCGUGCCAGCAGCCGCGGUAAUACGAAGGGGGCGAGCGUUAUUCGGAUUUAUUGGGCGUAAGGGCGCGUAGGCGGCUGGGCAAGUCUGGUGUGAAAACGCUACCGCUCAACGGAGCGAUUGCGCUGGAAACUGCCCAACUUGAGUGCAGGAGAGGCAUGCGGAAUACCCGGUGUAGCGGUGGAAUGCUUAGAGAUCGGGUAGAACAUCUGAGGCGAAGGCGGCAUGCUGGCCUGUAACUGACGCUGAGGCGCGAAAGCGUGGGGAUCAAACGGGAUUAGAUACCCCGGUAGUCCACGCUGUAAACGGUGAGUACUAGGUGUAGGGGGUAUCCAUUCCUUCUGUGCCGCAGCAAACGCAUUAAGUACUCCGCCUGGGAAGUACGGCCGCAAGGUUGAAACUCAAAGGAAUUGACGGGGGCCCGCACAAGCGGUGGAGCAUGUGGUUUAAUUCGAUUCAACGCGAAGAACCUUACCUGGGCUCGAAAUGAUGCUUAUAAGGGGUGAAAGCCCCGGCCCUUCGGGGGUGCAUUAUAGGUGCUGCAUGGCUGUCGUCAGCUCGUGUCGUGAGAUGUUGGGUUAAGUCCCGCAACGAGCGCAACCCUCGUUUUCAGUUGCCAGCGCGUAAUGGCGGGGACUCUGGAGAGACUGCCCGCGGUAAGCGGGAGGAAGGUGAGGACGACGUCAAGUCAUCAUGGCCCUUACGUCCAGGGCUACACACGUGCUACAAUGGCGGGGACAAUGCGCAGCAACCUGGCGACAGGGAGCGAAUCGCACAAACCUCGUCCCAGUUCAGAUUGGAGUCUGCAACUCGACUCCAUGAAGAUGGAAUCGCUAGUAAUCGCGGAUCAGAAUGCCGCGGUGAAUCCGUUCCCGGGCCUUGUACACACCGCCCGUCACGUCACGAAAGUCGGUUGUACCAGAAGUCGCUGUAGGAACCUCUUCAAACAGGACCAAGGCGCCUAAGGUAUGGCUGGUAAUUGGGACGAAGUCGUAACAAGGUA